CAGGCCAUAGAUUGGCACGUACGGCCAUGAUUUGCCAGAGGUGAGGCUGUCGUGGGAAAUCCCAGUCAGUGUCUGCCCCUGAGCAUGGCAUCGUGGCCCUGGGGCCGGCCUGCCGAGUGGGGCUCACGCCCCACCACGGCUGUUUCCUGGCCCCUCCUCAAUGUCAGCCCCGUGGAAGCAUCCUUUGUACCAUGGGCCUCUUGGGCCUUUUCUUGGCAUGAGUGAUUAUUUAUUGAGAGUCUUCCUUAAUACCCUCACCGGAAGUCUACUGAGUACAAAUACAGAGACACAACAGGCAACAGGAAGGCUGUUCAGGUCAGCCCCAGUGAGCCGUUGUUCCAGAGAACUCUUGGUCCCCGCGGGCAUGUCUGAGGCCUGACUUUACAAGUGCUGCUCUGAGGGUGGGCAGGCGUGGAGGGCUUCCUCCGGGCUCUGCAUGUUCCCCGAUGCCCGGGGCAGCUGGUCUAGCUCAGGGCCCCAGCAGAGCAGUCGGUGCCUGCAGCCGCAGAGCCACCCAGCCCUCCUCCCAAAUGGCCUGAGUGCACAGAGGGGUGAGAGGGCUGGGAAGGCCCGAGUCCCUGCAGAGCAGCACCUCCCUGGCCCCUUGGACUGCAGCAACCACAACUGUAUGCGCACCAUCCACUUCCAUCAUCUGUUUCCAGGUCUUUCCUGACCUGCUCAACAUUUAGUCAAUCCUUCCAGCUGACAGUCCAGAGCCAUGGCCCCCUGAACGGAAGCUCCACCAGUGCCCCCCAGUCUCCCAAGGGGCCCAGGAGGAGGUUUGUGCCACACAUGAGCAUGCACAGGAAGCUAGGCCUGCUCUAACCCAGGUCCUGAAACUGCAUGAGGCCAACUUCCGCUUAGCUGCCGCUCAGAAAUCUGCACCCACCUGCGCUCCUUCCAGUUUCCUGCCUCCAGAUUCAUCAGCUACAAAAUGGCCCCAAUACCAGGACCUCAGCCGUAGGUGCCAAGGCCUGACAGUCAUCAGAGACUUUACGAGUCUGUGUCACCGGGUCAUGAUGUUCUUGUAUAAAACACUAUUGCCUUCCCCCCCCGCACCCCCCGUGAAAUGUACUUUCUCAAAUCUGAGUCCUUUCUCUGUAAACAGGAUCAUGAUUGAAAUUCAGCAAAGGGAACCCAGGGUACUCAAAGGAAUCUUGUGAUAAGUUGCCUCAUAAUCAACGUCUGCAAUGUGAGUGAGUCUCACCGACUGGACAGGAAUGAAGCACUGAUACACUAGAGUGUGGAUGGACCUUGAAAACGUCAUGCUAAGUAACGAAGACAGACCUAAAGGCCACAGACUCAGGACUCGGAUGGUGUGAAGGUCCCGCCCACAGAAGCGUCAAGAGGAACUCGGCUCCGCCACUCACCUGGCUCCCAGGCAAAGCCUGGCAUCUGGGUCUGGAACGGUGGCGGGCCAGGCUGCGAGCCCCGGCGCUCUCCUCAU